rnacentral:rRNA from 1 species
GACGAACGCUGGCGGCGUGCCUAAUACAUGCAAGUAGAACGCUGAAGAGAGGAGCUUGCUCUUCUUGGAUGAGUUGCGAACGGGUGAGUAACGCGUAGGUAACCUGCCUGGUAGCGGGGGAUAACUAUUGGAAACGAUAGCUAAUACCGCAUAAAAUUGAUUAUUGCAUGAUAAUUAAUUGAAAGAUGCAACUGCAUCACUACCAGAUGGACCUGCGUUGUAUUAGCUAGUUGGUGAGGCAACGGCUCACCAAGGCGACGAUACAUAGCCGACCUGAGAGGGUGAUCGGCCACACUGGGACUGAGACACGGCCCAGACUCCUACGGGAGGCAGCAGUAGGGAAUCUUCGGCAAUGGGGGGAACCCUGACCGAGCAACGCCGCGUGAGUGAAGAAGGUUUUCGGAUCGUAAAGCUCUGUUGUAAGAGAAGAACGGGUGUGAGAGUGGAAAGUUCACACUGUGACGGUAUCUUACCAGAAAGGGACGGCUAACUACGUG